rnacentral:rRNA from 1 species
AGUGAACGCUGGCGGUAGGCCUAACACAUGCAAGUCGAACGGCAGCACAGUAAGAGCUUGCUCUUACGGGUGGCGAGUGGCGGACGGGCGAGGAAUACAUCGGAAUCUACUUUUUCGUGGGGGAUAACGUAGGGAAACUUACGCUAAUACCGCAUACGACCUACGGGUGAAAGCAGGGGAUCUUCGGACCUUGCGCGAUUGAAUGAGCCGAUGUCGGAUUAGCUAGUUGGCGGGGUAAAGGCCCACCAAGGCGACGAUCCGUAGCUGGUCUGAGAGGAUGAUCAGCCACACUGGAACUGAGACACGGUCCAGACUCCUACGGGAGGCAGCAGUGGGGAAUAUUGGACAAUGGGCGCAAGCCUGAUCCAGCCAUACCGCGUGGGUGGAGAAGGCCUUCGGGUUGUAAAGCCCUUUUGUUGGGAAAGAAAAGCAGCAGGUUAAUACCCCGCUGUUCUGACGGUACCCAAAGAAUAAGCACCGGCUAACUUCGUG